rnacentral:rRNA from 1 species
CGGUUAAGUUAGAAAGGGCGCACGGUGGAUGCCUUGGCACUAGGAGCCGAUGAAGGACGGGACGAACACCGAUAUGCUUCGGGGAGCUGUAAGCAAGCUUUGAUCCGGAGAUUUCCGAAUGGGGAAACCCACCACUCGUAAUGGAGUGGUAUCCAUAUCUGAAUACAUAGGAUAUGAGAAGGCAGACCCGGGGAACUGAAACAUCUAAGUACCCGGAGGAAGAGAAAGCAAAUGCGAUUCCCUGAGUAGCGGCGAGCGAAACGGGACCAGCCCAAACCAAGAGGCUUGCCUCUUGGGGUUGUAGGACACUCUGUACGGAGUUACAAAGGAACGAGGUAGAUGAAGAGGUCUGGAAAGGCCCGCCAUAGGAGGUAACAGCCCUGUAGUCAAAACUUCGUUCUCUCCUGAGUGGAUCCUGAGUACGGCGGAACACGUGAAAUUCCGUCGGAAUCCGGGAGGACCAUCUCCCAAGGCUAAAUACUCCCUAGUGACCGAUAGUGAACCAGUACCGUGAGGGAAAGGUGAAAAGCACCCCGGAAGGGGAGUGAAAGAGAUCCUGAAACCGUGUGCCUACAAGUAGUCAGAGCCCGUUAACGGGUGAUGGCGUGCCUUUUGUAGAAUGAACCGGCGAGUUACGAUCCCGUGCAAGGUUAAGCAGAAGAUGCGGAGCCGCAGCGAAAGCGAGUCUGAAUAGGGCGAAUUGAGUACGUGGUCGUAGACCCGAAACCAGGUGAUCUACCCAUGUCCAGGGUGAAGUUCAGGUAACACUGAAUGGAGGCCCGAACCCACGCACGUUGAAAAGUGCGGGGAUGAGGUGUGGGUAGGGGUGAAAUGCCAAUCGAACCUGGAGAUAGCUGGUUCUCUCCGAAAUAGCUUUAGGGCUAGCCUCAAGGUAAGAGUCUCGGAGGUAGAGCACUGAUUGGACUAGGGGCCCCUACCGGGUUACCGAAUUCAGUCAAACUCCGAAUGCCGAUGACUUAUCCUUGGGAGUCAGACUGCGAGUGAUAAGAUCCGUAGUCGAAAGGGAAACAGCCCAGACCGCCAGCUAAGGUCCCAAAGUAUACGUUAAGUGGAAAAGGAUGUGGAGUUGCUUAGACAACCAGGAUGUUGGCUUAGAAGCAGCCACCAUUUAAAGAGUGCGUAAUAGCUCACUGGUCGAGUGACUCUGCGCCGAAAAUGUACCGGGGCUAAACGUAUCACCGAAGCUGCGGACUGUUCUUCGAACAGUGGUAGGAGAGCGUUCUAAGGGCUGUGAAGCAAGACCGGAAGGACUUGUGGAGCGCUUAGAAGUGAGAAUGCCGGUAUGAGUAGCGAAAGAGGGGUGAGAAUCCCCUCCACCGAAUGCCUAAGGUUUCCUGAGGAAGGCUCGUCCGCUCAGGGUUAGUCGGGACCUAAGCCGAGGCCGAAAGGCGUAGGCGAUGGAUAACAGGUUGAUAUUCCUGUACCACCUCCUCACCAUUUGAGCAAUGGGGGGACGCAGGAGGAUAGGGUAAGCGCGGUAUUGGAUAUCCGCGUCCAAGCAGUUAGGCUGGGAAAUAGGCAAAUCCGUUUCCCGUGAAGGCUGAGCUGUGAUGGCGAGCGAAUUAUAGUAGCGAAGUUCCUGAUUCCACACUGCCAAGAAAAGCCUCUAGCGAGGUGAGAGGUGCCCGUACCGCAAACCGACACAGGUAGGCGAGGAGAGAAUCCUAAGGUGAUCGAGAGAACUCUCGUUAAGGAACUCGGCAAAAUGACCCCGUAACUUCGGGAGAAGGGGUGCUCUGUUAGGGUGCAAGCCCGAGAGAGCCGCAGUGAAUAGGCCCAGGCGACUGUUUAGCAAAAACACAGGUCUCUGCGAAGCCGUAAGGCGAAGUAUAGGGGCUGACGCCUGCCCGGUGCUGGAAGGUUAAGAGGAGCGCUUAGCGUAAGCGAAGGUGCGAAUUGAAGCCCCAGUAAACGGCGGCCGUAACUAUAACGGUCCUAAGGUAGCGAAAUUCCUUGUCGGGUAAGUUCCGACCCGCACGAAAGGCGCAACGAUCUGGGCACUGUCUCAACGAGAGACUCGGUGAAAUUAUAGUACCUGUGAAGAUGCAGGUUACCCGCGACAGGACGGAAAGACCCCGUGGAGCUUUACUGCAGCCUGAUAUUGAAUGUUGGUACAGCUUGUACAGGAUAGGUAGGAGCCUUGGAAACCGGAGCGCCAGCUUCGGUGGAGGCAUCGGUGGGAUACUACCCUGGCUGUAUUGACCUUCUAACCCGCCGCCCUUAUCGGGCGGGGAGACAGUGUCAGGUGGGCAGUUUGACUGGGGCGGUCGCCUCCUAAAAGGUAACGGAGGCGCCCAAAGGUUCCCUCAGAAUGGUUGGAAAUCAUUCGCAGAGUGUAAAGGCACAAGGGAGCUUGACUGCGAGACCUACAAGUCGAGCAGGGACGAAAGUCGGGCUUAGUGAUCCGGUGGUUCCGCAUGGAAGGGCCAUCGCUCAACGGAUAAAAGCUACCCCGGGGAUAACAGGCUUAUCUCCCCCAAGAGUCCACAUCGACGGGGAGGUUUGGCACCUCGAUGUCGGCUCAUCGCAUCCUGGGGCUGUAGUCGGUCCCAAGGGUUGGGCUGUUCGCCCAUUAAAGCGGUACGCGAGCUGGGUUCAGAACGUCGUGAGACAGUUCGGUCCCUAUCCGUCGCGGGCGCAGGAAAUUUGAGAGGAGCUGUCCUUAGUACGAGAGGACCGGGAUGGACGCACCGCUGGUGUACCAGUUGUUCUGCCAAGGGCAUCGCUGGGUAGCUAUGUGCGGACGGGAUAAGUGCUGAAAGCAUCUAAGCAUGAAGCCCCCCUCAAGAUGAGAUUUCCCAUUCCGCAAGGAAGUAAGAUCCCUGAAAGAUGAUCAGGUUGAUAGGUCUGAGGUGGAAGUGUGGUGACACAUGGAGCUGACAGAUACUAAUCGAUCGAGGACUUAACCAAUUU